GACGAACGCUGGCGGCGUGCCUAACACAUGCAAGUCGAACGGAACGGCCCUGGUUUUGUGGGGUGCUCGAGUGGCGAACGGGUGAGUAACACUUGCGUAACCUGCCCCUGACUUUGGGAUAACUUUAGGAAACUGGGGCGAAUACUGGAUAGGAGCUCCUGCUGCAUGGUGGGGGUUGGAAAGUUUCGGCGGGCGGGGGCUGACGCGCGGCUUAUGAGCUUGUUGGUGGGGUAAUGGCCUACGAAGGCGUUGACGGGUAGCCGGCGGGUGAGGGUGGUCGGCGACAUGGGAGCGUAGCCAGGGACAAUGGGACUGCGGUAGGGACCAGUAGCCUACGGGAGGCAGCAGUGGGGAAUAUGGCAGAAUGAGCGGGAGCCUGAGGCGGCGGUGCCGGGUGCGUAAAGACCGCCUGUGGGUGGUAAACCGCUUACGGCGGAAACGUAGCGCGAGUGACGGUAAUGGGUAAAGAAGCACCGGCUAACUACGUG
rnacentral:rRNA from 1 species